UACGGAGGGUGCUAGCGUUGUUCGGAAUUACUGGGCGUAAAGCGCACGUAGGCGGCUUUGUCAGUUAGAGGUGAAAGCCCGGGGCUCAACUCCGGAAUUGCCUUUAAGACUGCAUCGCUAGAAUUGUGGAGAGGUAAGUGGAAUUCCGAGUGUAGAGGUGAAAUUCGUAGAUAUUCGGAAGAACACCAGUGGCGAAGGCGACUUACUGGACACAUAUUGACGCUGAGGUGCGAAAGCGUGGGGAGCAAACAGG
rnacentral:rRNA from 1 species